AAAUUGAAGAGUUUGAUCAUGGCUCAGAUUGAACGCUGGCGGCAGGCCUAACACAUGCAAGUCGAACGGUAACAGGAAGCAGCUUGCUGCUUCGCUGACGAGUGGCGGACGGGUGAGUAAUGUCUGGGAAACUGCCUGAUGGAGGGGGAUAACUACUGGAAACGGUAGCUAAUACCGCAUAACGUCGCAAGACCAAAGAGGGGGACCUUCGGGCCUCUUGCCAUCGGAUGUGCCCAGAUGGGAUUAGCUAGUAGGUGGGGUAACGGCUCACCUAGGCGACGAUCCCUAGCUGGUCUGAGAGGAUGACCAGCCACACUGGAACUGAGACACGGUCCAGACUCCUACGGGAGGCAGCAGUGGGGAAUAUUGCACAAUGGGCGCAAGCCUGAUGCAGCCAUGCCGCGUGUAUGAAGAAGGCCUUCGGGUUGUAAAGUACUUUCAGCGGGGAGGAAGGGAGUAAAGUUAAUACCUUUGCUCAUUGACGUUACCCGCAGAAGAAGCACCGGCUAACUCCGUGCCAGCAGCCGCGGUAAUACGGAGGGUGCAAGCGUUAAUCGGAAUUACUGGGCGUAAAGCGCACGCAGGCGGUUUGUUAAGUCAGAUGUGAAAUCCCCGGGCUCAACCUGGGAACUGCAUCUGAUACUGGCAAGCUUGAGUCUCGUAGAGGGGGUAGAAUUCCGGUGUAGCGGUGAAAUGCGUAGAGAUCUGGAGGAAUACCGGUGGCGAAGGCGGCCCCACGGACGAAGACUGACGCUCAGGUGCGAAAGCGUGGGGAGCAAACAGGAUUAGAUACCCUGGUAGUCCACGCCGUAAACGAUGUCGACUUGGAGGUUGUGCCCUUGAGGCGUGGCUUCCGGAGCUAACGCGUUAAGUCGACCGCACUGGGAGUACGGCCGCAAGGUUAAAACUCAAAUGAAUUGACGGGGGCCCGCACAAGCGGUGGAGCAUGUGGUUUAAUUCGAUGCAACGCGAAGAACCUUACCCGGGUCUUGACAUCCACAGAACUUUCCAGAGAUGGAUUGGUGCCUUCGGGAACUGUGAGACAGGUGCUGCAUGGCUGUCGUCAGCUCGUGUUGUGAAAUGUUGGGUUAAGUCCCGCAACGAGCGCAACCCUUAUCCUUUGUUGCCAGCGGUCCGGCCGGGAACUCAAAGGAGACUGCCAGUGAUAAACUGGAGGAAGGUGGGGAUGACGUCAAGUCAUCAUGGCCCUUACGACCCGAGGGCUACACACGUGCUACAAUGGCGCAUACAAAGAGAAGCGACCUCGCGAGAGCAAGCGGACCUCAUAAAGUGCGUCGUAGUCCGGAUUGGAGUCUGCAACUCGACUCCAUGAAGUCGGAAUCGCUAGUAAUCGUGGAUCAGAAUGCCACGGUGAAUACGUUCCCGGGCCUUGUACACACCGCCCGUCACACCAUGGGAGUGGGUUGCAAAAGAAGUAGGUAGCUUAACCUUCGGGAGGGCGCUUACCACUUUGUGAUUCAUGACUGGGGUGAAGUCGUAACAAGGUAACCGUAGGGGAACCUGCGGUUGGAUCACCUCCUUACCUUAAAGAAGC
rnacentral:rRNA from 1 species